rfam:Physcomitrella patens subsp. patens PHYPAscaffold_311 genomic scaffold, whole genome shotgun sequence.
AGCCGAUGAUUAAAAGUGUAUUUGCUACUCUUGAUGGUCUCGACCAGCUGAUUACACACCAUACUACUAAGAUCGAUGAGGCU